AACUGGAGUGUUCACUGACAAGGACAAAGCUGCAGCCCAUCUAAAGGAGUUACGUAUACGAAGAAGGGAAGAUUCAUACACGAGAUGGGCUUGGAAUUAAGAUUGCAACCACCACAAAGAGUUCAAAGUCGAGAUUUUCUUCAAUUCCGCCGGAAGUGCAAAUGGAAAUGAAUUCAAUGAAAGAGCAAAUGCAACUUAAAGAUGAAAAAAUGGAAAGAUUGGAAGCGGAAUUGAAAGAAACCCGAGAAAUUGUGAACACCUUGGUCAGCCGUUUUGGACUACAAGCCUCGACAUCGACUCCUUCCAAUGAUGGUGGAGUAUAAAAAGGGAUGAACUUUGUUUGGUUUUUGAAUUAAAGUUUGAAACACUACAUUAUAUGCUUUUAAGUUUUUAUGUACUUUUAUAAUUUAUGUUUUGUGCAACCUUGAUAUUUAAUCCUUAUAAUUGGUUUUAAUAUUUUUGA